AUUGAACGCUGGCGGCAUGCCUUACACAUGCAAGUCGAACGGCAGCACGGGAGCAAUCCUGGUGGCGAGUGGCGAACGGGUGAGUAAUAUAUCGGAACGUGCCCAGUCGUGGGGAUAACGUAGCGAAAGUUACGCUAAUACCGCAUACGAUCUAAGGAUGAAAGCGGGGGAUCGCAAGACCUCGCGCGAUUGGAGCGGCCGAUAUCAGAUUAGGUAGUUGGUGAGGUAAAGGCUCACCAAGCCGACGAUCUGUAGCUGGUCUGAGAGGACGACCAGCCACACUGGGACUGAGACACGGCCCAGACUCCUACGGGAGGCAGCAGUGGGGAAUUUUGGACAAUGGGCGCAAGCCUGAUCCAGCAAUGCCGCGUGCAGGAUGAA
rnacentral:rRNA from 1 species